GCCCAGUAUCAGACAGCUCAGUUGGUAGAGCAUGAAACUCUUAAACUCAGGGUCAUGGUUCGAGACCCACAUUGGGCA